AGGGCGUGUAGUACUAAGGAAAAGAAAGCUGAGAAGGACACAAUUGUUUGUUACUCAAACGGCGCUUGUAUCCUAAUUAUUUGGCGAGUUCUAUAUAAAGGGAAAAAAAUGAGCGAACGCGAUGGUCUUGAAGUUGUUCGAAAUCCAAAGAGGCCUAUCGGCGCUUGGAUACAUUACUAUAACGAUCAAUUAGCCAUGAUGAAAGAGAAG